rnacentral:rRNA from 1 species
CCUACGGGAGGCAGCAGUGGGGAAUAUUGGGCAAUGGAGGAAACUCUGACCCAGCGACGCCGCGUGCGGGAUGAAGGCCUUCGGGUUGUAAACCGCUUUCAGUAGGGAAGAAGCGAAAGUGACGGUACCUACAGAAGAAGCACCGGCUAACUAUGUGCCAGCAGCCGCGGUAAUACAUAGGGUGCAAGCGUUGUCCGGAAUUAUUGGGCGUAAAGAGCUCGUAGGUGGUUCGUCACGUCGGAUGUGAAAAUCUGGGGCUCAACCCCAGACCUGCAUUCGAUACGGGCGAUCUAGAGUGUGGUAGGGGAGACUGGAAUUCCUGGUGUAGCGGUGGAAUGCGCAGAUAUCAGGAGGAACACCAAUGGCGAAGGCAGGUCUCUGGGCCAUUACUGACACUGAGGAGCGAAAGCGUGGGGAGCGAACAGGAUUAGAUACCCUGGUAGUCCACGCCGUAAACGGUGGGCACUAGUUGUGGGAACCUUCCACGGUUUCUGCGACGCAGCUAACGCAUUAAGUGCCCCGCCUGGGGAGUACGANCGCAGAUAAACUACAAGAGUAGAGACGUGAGAGNGCGACGACGACGACGACGGAGGAGGAG